UGCCUAUUGGGCGCGAAACACGACAAUAUAACUCAGUUGCGUUGAAUGUAUACAAAUAUGAAAAUCCCAAUACCUCAGCGGUCACACCAUUACUACUGUAAACCACAGACGACGUAUCACACAGGUAUUUAUUGUUAGUUAUCUUUUUAAGGCAUCGAAAUCGGACAAGGACGUAAUUGAAUGGGCAAAACGACAAAGUAGGCGAGAUGAAAAAGACAGACAAAAGAAAUUAAAAUCCUUACAAGAAGAGGAAGAAAAACAAUUAGCUCUCGCAUUGAAAAAGUCUUUAGAAGAAUCUAAUGCCUAGUUAGUGCUGAGGGUUGUCGCUAAGUCUUCUUAGUUCAACUGUAAUGCAAGAGUUACUCCGUUUAAGGGAGAGAAAUUCGGAAUAUAGAAUGCAUAUACAGUGCCUGAUAAGGGUUGUAUCGUAUGCAUAACACAUUAUCUUACGAGAAGGACUUAUAGUUAAAAAUUUCUGCAACUUUCAACUGUCGUAAUACUUCACAAGUUAGUAAAUUACUGCUAGUGAGACGUCCAUGUUUCCAAAACAAAUAGACCAUUUCGUUUUCCAGCAAGGCUAUAGCAUCAUAGUCCAAUAUGACAACACAGAAAUGCGAAUCGUGGCGUACAAUCCCGAAAGUAGCGCCUGGCAGUAGUCACCCCCCCCCCCGCGCCGAAAGUGCAUGGCUUCAAAUUUGACAUUUAAAAAAAAACUCCGAAAGUAGCCGCCUCCCUGAAAGUAAAUGGAUAUGCACGUAAAUGCUGUUGCCGAAUAGACUUGAUUUUCCUGUUUCACUCUAGACGAAAGAUACUAACAAAACCAUUUAACCGGGGUUGCGCUACAGUCUAGUAAAUAUUUGCUUCAAAAACCGUCGACAGUCGGUGGUUAAGAUCGAAACUUGUCAACUGUCAACGUACCAAAGCUAUAUUGUCGAAAUGGCAUAAAGGAAAAUGGGAAGGGACAAAGAAUUCUAUUCCACAGUAUGUUAACAUUAUUUUACCAUCCGAAUGUAACUGCAUGCUCCGGUCCCGUAACCUGCUGAAAGUAGUGUCCCCCAACAGCCGAUGAAACUGAAAGUAAGAGGAACCGCUACUUUCGGGAUUCUGCGCUACUUUUAUGCAGUCCGCCCCAGACAAGAUAGACAUCGCUCAAAGAACGUCUCCAAAUUUAAAAGUUAUAUUUAUGUUGGAAUUUCUUGGGGAAAAUAUAGAGCUCAAUUUCAAUAAUCCGCGCAUUGAAUGAUUCAGUCAAUCAUAUUAAGCAAUGUUAUUACACAGCCAAGAACAAUGUUACAAUACGAGCUGAAACUGCUCAAACACCAACUGCGGACGUUCUAAGGUUCCGCUCACACUGAACUAACAAAUGGCCGUUGCUUCCUGCCUAGUACUGGUCUAACACCUGUCUGAACACGGUGCUCCCGGAUAAAAUAGAGCACAUUGAGAGGCAACGAACCUGUUGGCAUGCCUGAAACCAGGCGCUAUAUCUUUGGGCUAUACAGUAGGGUUACAUGAAGUAUUGUGACAGGCGAGCGACGAGCGAAGAAGCGUUUCGGAAGAUUCCUUGCCUAUGGCAAUUUUUAAUGUGUAAACCAUUAUACGCUAGUCCCGCUCUUUUGUGCGCAAAAGGACAGUAAAAAUAAUGCGCUGGAGACGCCUGGUAUGAGGCAGUGUGUGAACAGGACGCGUCUAUUCGCCGUCAAUUAUAGAUACUUGGGGACCAAGAUACUUGAUUCAACUCUGGAUGUGAACUUACUGAUCAUAAACGUAGUACUUUACUAAUUUAUGUAUAGAAAACACUGGGUAUAAAUGUAUAGUUUGUAAUAAUAAAAAUUAAUUGAUCAAAUAUAAAAGUCUAGGAG
rnacentral:lncRNA from 1 species